rnacentral:rRNA from 1 species
GACGAACGCUGGCGGCGUGCUUAACACAUGCAAGUCGAACGGAAAGGCCCUGCUUUUGUGGGGUGCUCGAGUGGCGAACGGGUGAGUAACACGUGAGUAACCUGCCCUUGACUUUGGGAUAACUUCAGGAAACUGGGGCUAAUACCGGAUAGGAGCUCCUGCUGCAUGGUGGGGGUUGGAAAGUUUCGGCGGUUGGGGAUGGACUCGCGGCUUAUCAGCUUGUUGGUGGGGUAGUGGCUUACCAAGGCUGUGACGGGUAGCCGGCCGGAGAGGGUGACCGGCCACAUUGGGACUGAGAUACGGCCCAGACUCCUACGGGAGGCAGCAGUGGGGAAUAUUGCACAAUGGGCGGAAGCCUGAUGCAGCAGCGCCGCGUGCGGGAUGACGGCCUUCGGGUUGUAAACCGCUUUCGCCUGUGACGAAGCGUGAGUGACGGUAAUGGGUAAAGAAGCACCGGCUAACUACGUG